GGAAGUAGAAGUCGUAACAAGGUUUCCGUAGGUGAACCUGCGGAAGGAUCAUUCAUAAUAAAGUGUUUUAUGGCACUUUUUAAAAAUCCAUAUCCACCUUGUGUGCAAUGUUAGAUCUCGUCAAUCUUGGCGAGAUUUUUAUACAUCAACUCAUUCUUUAACUAAUUUGUCUGAAAAAUAUUAUGAAUACUUAAUUCAAAAUACAACUUUCAACAACGGAUCUCUUGGCUCUC
rnacentral:misc_RNA from 1 species